rnacentral:rRNA from 1 species
GAUGAACGCUGGCGGCGUGCUUAACACAUGCAAGUCGAACGGAAAGGCUCCUGCUUGCAGGGGUACUCGAGUGGCGAACGGGUGAGUAACACGUGGGUGAUCUGCCCUGCACUUCGGGAUAAGCCUGGGAAACUGGGUCUAAUACCGGAUAGGACGAUGGUUUGGAUGCCAUUGUGGAAAGUUCUUUCGGUGUGGGAUGAGCUCGCGGCCUAUCAGCUUGUUGGUGGGGUAAUGGCCUACCAAGGCGUCGACGGGUAGCCGGCCUGAGAGGGUGUACGGCGACAUUGGGACUGAGAUACGGACCAGAAUCCUACGGGAGGCAGCAGUGGGGAAUAUUGCACAAUGGGCGCAAGCCUGAUGCAGCGACGCCGCGUGGGGGAUGACGGCCUUCGGGUUGUAAACUCCUUUCGCUAGGGACGAAGCGCAAGUGACGGUACCUGGAGAAGAAGCACCGGCUAACUACGUG